rnacentral:lncRNA from 1 species
UAUAUUCCCCAAUAAAACUCUGCCCAGUUGCAGUCCAUCCCCAACCAGGGCACGUUAGUGGCUGGUGCCCUGGGAGAUCUGGGAGGCAGGUGAUUAUCCUUAUUUAGAUGUGCCAGGGAUCAUGUGACCAGAAAAUGGAGGCCAAUCUGUAUUUCUAGUUAACUGCUCCAGCAGGGAGAUGCUGAAGCGUCGCGGUCGCGCAACCUUCUCGCUCUCCCGCUAAGAAGCCUCCUGCCACCUUCAGAAGACUCCUGUCAGAGGAUGUAGGAAUGGAUGUCCCCUUCGAGGAGGGGAUGCUGAGUCCCAGUGCUGCAGACAUGAGGCCUGAACCUCCUAAUUCGCUGGAUCUUAAUGGCACUCAUCCUCAGAGAAUCAAGCUCACAGCCCCAAAUAUCAAUCUUUCUCUGGACCAAAGUGAAGGAUCUAUUCUCUCUGAUGACAACCUAGACAGCCCAGAUGAAAUUGAUAUCAACGUGGAUGAACUUGAUACUCCUGAUGAGGCAGAUUCCUUUGAGUAUACAGGCCAUGAAGAUUCCAUGGUCAACAAAGACUCUGGCCAAGAGUCAGAGUCCAUUCCAGAAUAUACAGCUGAAGAAGAGCGUGAAGACAACCGGCUGUGGAGGACAGUGGUGAUCGGAGAACAAGAGCAACGGAUUGACAUGAAGGUCAUCGAGCCCUACAGGAGAGUCAUUUCUCAUGGAGGAUACUAUGGGGAUGGUCUAAAUGCCAUCAUUGUGUUUGCUGCUUGUUUUCUGCCAGACAGCAGUCGGGUGGAUUACCACUAUGUCAUGGAAAAUCUUUUCCUCUAUGUAAUAAGCACAUUAGAGCUGAUGGUAGCUGAAGAUUAUAUGAUUGUAUAUUUGAAUGGUGCAACCCCAAGACGGAAGAUGCCAGGCCUGGGCUGGAUGAAGAAAUGCUACCAGAUGAUUGACAGGCGGUUGCGCAAGAAUUUGAAAUCCUUCAUCAUUGUUCAUCCAUCCUGGUUCAUCAGAACGAUCCUUGCUGUGACACGGCCUUUUAUAAGUUCAAAAUUCAGCAGUAAAAUUAAGUAUGUUAGUACCCUAUCAGAGCUCAGCGGAUUGAUUCCAAUGGACUGCAUCCAUAUCCCAGAGAGCAUCAUCAAGUACGAUGAAGAGAGAUCUUUUAAGAGAAGUGUGAGACUGGAUGAAGAACUGAGAGAAGCAUCAGAAGCAGCUAAAACUAGCUGCAUUUACAAUGAUCCAGAAAUGUCUUCUAUGGAGAAGGAUAUGGACCUGAAGCUAAAAGAAAAGCCCUAG